GAAGUCUCAAUUAGAAUCAGGACUUCUAGGUUGCCAGGGGCUGGUGAGAGAGGAAAAUGAGGAGAUGUUGGUUAAAGGCUACAAAUUUCCAGUUUGAAGAGGAAUACGUUCUGGGGAUGUAAUGUCUCUACCUCCAGAAAUCAAUGUGAAACUGAAGCUGGUAAUAUUUAGCCCAGCAGAGCAGAGCCGAGAGUCACAAUAAGAUUUGUGGGAACAGAGUCCAACCAAGAAACUGAAGACCCUAGAAUCCAAUCUUAUCCCUGACACUAAGUAGCUGAUUAGGACCCCCAGAUAUCCAUCUGAAAUGAACCAAGAAGAACAUCACAAAAAUCAGUAUGUUGAUUACUCCAGGAGGUGACAUGGGAGAUGGGAGAGGGAAGAACACACAGAGAUUACAAAAAGAAGGAACAGUGCUCAUCUGAAAUACUACUAAGCAAUAAAACAUGAACAACCGAUAGACAAACCACCACAGUGGAUGAAUCCUAGAUACUGUGUUGAAUGUAAGUAUUUUAUGAGUCCAUGUAUAUAAAGUUCUAGAACAAGUAAAACCUCUUUACCAUGAUAAGCAGAACAAUGGCCCAAGAGAUAGA